UCGAGGUAGUAACAGGCAGCUCAAUACGAUCUCUUACUGCCCUUUACUCAGUUAUCCCCAAGGUAAUUUUAUCCUCUAUCCUGUAGGAUCUCAAAAUAAAUGAAUUACGCACAUUUACCCCAAAUAAAACUAAACAAAUAGUAAAACUCUUGGGGUCUUUCCGUCCUAUAUCUAAAUAAUGGAUUCCUCACCACUAAACUAAAUUCAGAUAUAAUUAUCAUUUUAGACACCUUUCGUUCAA
rnacentral:rRNA from 1 species